rnacentral:rRNA from 1 species
AUGGCGCAGCCGAACCACCGGUACGGCGGCCACCGGGACCUGGAAGCCGUGAUAGACAUGGACCAGCCGGAGAAGCCGACCGCGAAAGGCGGCAGCCGAUUCAGCUUCACCGGCGGGCUGGAGUUCACCAGCCUUACGUACACUGUGGUCAAGAAGCAGCGGGGUGUCGGCGGGGAGUGGGAGAAGAAGGACGUGGACCUUCUGCACGAGAUCACGGGGUACGCGCCCAAAGGCUGCGUCACCGCCGUGAUGGGCCCCAGCGGCGCCGGCAAGUCGACAUUCCUGGACGCGCUCGCCGGGCGCAUCUCCAGCCUCGACGGCCGCGUGGCGCUCGACGGCGUCGAGAUGAGCCCCAGCGUCAUCAAGCGUUCGUCUGCCUACGUCAUGCAGGACGACCGCCUCUUCCCCAUGCUCACCGUCUACGAGACGCUCUUGUUCGCCGCCGACUUCCGCCUCGGCUCCGCCGUUUCCCCCUCCGACAAGAAGCUCCGCGUCGACAACCUCAUCGAGCAGCUCGGUCUCACGACAUCAAGGAACACGUACAUCGGGGACGAGGGCACGAGGGGAGUGUCCGGCGGAGAGCGCCGGCGCGUCUCCAUCGGCGUGGACAUCAUCCACGGGCCGGCGCUGCUGUUCCUCGACGAGCCGACGUCGGGGCUCGACUCGACGAGCGCGCACAGCGUGAUCGAGAAGGUGCACGACAUCGCGUGCGCAGGGAGCACCGUGGUGUUGACCAUCCACCAGCCGUCGUCGCGGAUCCUGCAACUCCUCGACCACCUCAUCAUCCUGGCACGCGGCCAGCUCAUGUACAGCGGCGGGCCCAAGGAGGUCACCGCGCACCUCGGCCGCAUGGGCCGCAAGGUGCCCAAAGGGGAGAACUCCAUCGAGCACCUCCUCGACGUCAUCCAGGAGUACGACCAGUCCGAGUUCGGCGUCAACGCCCUCGCCGAGUUUUGCCUCACCGGUCUGAAGCCGCGCAAGCUCGCCGCCGAGGGGAUCUCCACCGUGUCUAGCAUCCCUCCGACACCGGUUGGGCCCGGGGGCGAGGACUUCGAUCACAGCCUCAGGAGCCAGCACUCCAAGUCUCCAUGGAGCGGCGCGCAGUUCACGCCGUCCCGGCGCCCCAAGAAAGAUCAAAGCGGCAAGUCACAGAACCCUCCAAGGUACGGGCCGGAGAUCGUGAUGGGGACGCCGACGCCGCUGAGCAGCAUCUCGGGGUACACGGUGAACGAGGCGGACUACCUGUCGCCGGCGCAGCGCGCGUCCACCACGGGGGCGGCCGGCGUGGGCAUCAACGCGCUGGGGCACCGCGGCAAGUUCGCCAACUCGUACGCGGCGGAGGUGUGGGUGCUGAUGCGGCGCAACUUCACCAACAUCUGGCGCACGCCGGAGCUGUUCCUGUCGCGGCUGAUGGUGCUGACAGUGAUGGGAUUCCUGAUGGCCACCAUGUUCACCAAGCCCAAGGACAACACGCAGGGCAUCACCAACCGGCUGAGCUUCUUCAUCUUCACCGUGUGCGUCUUCUUCUUCUCCUCCAACGACGCCGUCCCGGCCUUCAUCCAGGAGCGCUUCAUCUUCAUCAGGGAGACCUCGCACAACGCGUACCGUGCGUCCGCGUACGUGGUCGCCGGGGUGAUCACGUACCUGCCGUUCCUCCUGCUCCAGUCCGCCGCGUACGCCCUCAUCACCUGGUGGGCCAUCGGGCUCCACGGCCAGUUCGUGUACUUCCUCGUCAUGCUCUACGCCUCGCUCCUCUCCACCAACUCCUUCGUCGUCUUCAUCAGCUCCAUCGUGCCAAACUUCAUCCUUGGGUACGCUGCGGUGAUCGCGUUCACGGCGCUCUUCUUCCUCUUCUGCGGCUACUUCGUGAACAGCCACAGCAUCCCGCAGGGGUGGAAGUGGAUGAACACCGUGUCCACGAUGAAGUACCCAUACGAGGGUCUCCUGAUGAACGAGUUCGGCGGAGAGCGGGACUUCUCCUCGAACCCGCCGCUCACCGGCAACGCCAUCCUCGAGAGCCUCACCAUCAGCGUGGCCAAGGACCGCAAGUGGAGGAUGGUGCUCUACCUGCUCGGCUGGGCCGUCUUCUACCGCGUGCUCUUCUACCUCGUCCUCCGCUUCGCCUCCAAGAACAAGAGGAAGUAG